rnacentral:rRNA from 1 species
UUCGCCCUUAGAGUUUGAUCCUGGCUCAGGACGAACGCUGGCGGCGUGCCUAACACAUGCAAGUCGAGCGGAGACAAAUGAGAGCUUGUUCAAGUUUGUUUUAUCAGCGGACGGGUGAGUAACGCGUGAACAAUCUGCCCCACUCAGGGGAAUAACUAGUUGGAAACAACUGCUAGAUACCUGCAUAAGACCACGGACCGGCAUCGGGUUGAGGUAAAAGGAGCAAUCCGGAUUGGGGUGAGUUCGCGUCCUAUUAGAUAGUAGGCGGGGUAACGGCCCACCAAGUCAGCGAUCGGUAGCAGACGUGAGAGGGUGAUCGCCCACAUCGGAACUGAGACGCGGUCCAAACUCCUACGGGAGGCAGCAGCGGGGAAUAUUGGGCAAUGGGCGCAAGCAUCACCCAGCAACGCCGCGUGAGGGAAGAAGGUUUUUGGAUUGUAAAUCCUCUGUCUAUCAGGGAGCGAAGAAAGUGACGGUACCUGAGGAGGAAGCCCCGGCUAACUACGUGUCAGCAGCCGCGGUAAUACGUAGGGGGCGAGCGUUGUCCGGAAUGACUGGGCGUAAAGGGCGUGUAGGCGGCUCUUUAAGAUUGAAGUGAAAGUCCUGCUUUCAAGGUGGGAAUUGCUUUGUUGACUGGAGAGCUUGAGUGCGGAAGAGGUAAGUGGAAUUCCCAGUGUAGCGGUGAAAUGCGUAGAGAUUGGGAAGAACACCAGUGGCGAAGGCGACUUACUGGGCCGUAACUGACGGUGAGGCGUGGAAGCGUGGGGAGCGAACAGGAUUAGAUACCCUGGUAGUCCACGCGGUAAACGAUGAAUGCUAGGUGUAGCGGGUCUCGACCCGUGGUGUCCCGCAGUAAACCCAUUAACCCUUCCGCCUGGGGAGUAGGUCGCCAGGGUUGAAAUUCAAAGAAUUGGCGGGGGGCCGGCCCAAGCAGGGGAGCAGGUGGUUUAUUUGGAGGCAACGGGAGGACCCUUCCCAGUUCUUGCCUUCCCGUUACAGUUGUAGAGAUCCAUCGUCUCUUCGGACCAGGUGAGACAGGUGGUGCAUGGUUGUCGUCAGCUCGUGUCGUGAGAUGUUGGGUUAAGUCCCGCAACGAGCGCAACCCUUACCCUCAGUUGCUAACGGGUAAAGCCGGGCACUCUGGAGGGACUGCCGGGGACAACUUGGAGGAAGGUGGGGAUGACGUCAAAUCAUCAUGCCCCUUAUGACUUGGGCUACACACGUGCUACAAUGGCCUCCACAGAGAGAAGCGAGCCUGCGAGGGGGAGCGGACCUCAAAAAAGUGGUCCCAGUUCGGAUUGUGGUCUGCAACCCGCCCACAUGAAGUCGGAGUUGCUAGUAAUCGCGGAUCAGCAUGCCGCGGUGAAUACGUUCCCGGGCCUUGCACUCACCGCCCGUCA